UUGAGUUAAGGAAGGUAACCCUAAAAAGUCAUCCCUUCAGUAUUUUUCACGGUUAUCUCUCUUUGACCAUAUUUUGAGUGUUAUUUCAGUCUAAUCUGACAUAAUUUUUCUCACGCAGAAUUGUUUUGGUGUGCUAGAUGGAUAGAGCUUACUUUUCUGAGAAAUUUGAUGCCAAAAUCAACAAUAUUACUUAAUUUUUCAGCUAGUUACAGAUGUUCAAAGUUCGGUAAUAUUUAUUGGGUGAAAAUAAGCCAGGCUGUGUUUGGUACCUCAGUGACUAGAUUCUAGAGGCUACCUGCUGAUCCAGAACAAGAUGUUUUGGAAGAUCUGGAUCUAGAGGCACUCCUGUACAAAUACGGUCCCGUUUGUUUUCAUGAUGGCCAUUGUGGGAGUGAAUAUAGAUAAUCUAUCCAGAAUCUAGAUUCUGGAUAGCCAAGUGGGGAGAUAUUUGCUCACAAGACAAACGUGUGUGCCUCAGUGACAGAGACCUGGUCUAUCUCCUGGACACGAGGAGAGAGCAAAGGUCAACCAGAAACUGGAGGAGGCUGUUUCCAUCUGUACUUUUUACCUGUGCUGAAAGUGGCUUGAAAGAGCACCAAAACUGGUCCCUCACACCGGUGGAGCAACUGGCUGUUGCUAUGGAGAGAAGCUUUCUACGUAAAACAUCAUCUUUUUCCGAGUUGGACAUUCCAAAAAUUCCUGCUGGCCCAGCCACUGGAGGUGAGGAUGUUUCUGAAAACUUGCACAACAGGCGUGAUCCCAACAGUCGUCUGUACCUGAGUGCCAAAGAAAUCUCGCCCUUCCUUGAGAUACAGCCAUAGUUCUCAACACUACACUCAACCAUUCACCUAAGAAACGCGAUUCUACAGACGGGCAGUGUUCCCUGCCGUAUGUGAGAGACCAUCCCUGUGGUCUGAGGCCGGUCAAGCCAGUGCCAAUAUGGAGUCAGUAUCUCUCUGACCGCUCCUCUCUACCUGUGUGUGGGAAGAAAACGGUGGUAGGGGAGAAUGUCAAAAAAAUAUAAUUGAUGUCUUCAGAACGUCAGAACCUGACAGAAAUGUUCAGCUAUCUGUCCGGAGAACAUUCACGACGCUACCAUGUUGAAGGGGACAUCAGCGCUGCUUACUCAGAGAUGGUCAUCAACAGGAUCUGUCGGUAGAUUUGACUGGACGAAAGAUGAAGCAGACAAAGAGAUCAUGUGGACAACUGAGUGGAUCUGUGUGGAUCGGAAAAAACCCUCAUGUCUAGCUCAUCCCGAAUAUUCCCCACUAUUUUUAGCUCAUCCCCAGUAUUUUUUUAUAUGAUCCCUAUUAUUUUCGAGCUCUUCUCUAAUAUAUUCCAGCUCAUUCCGAAUACUCCCUACCUUUUUUUUUAGCUCGUCCCCAGUAUUUUCUAGAUGAUCCCUAUUAUUUUUCAGCUCAUCAAUAAUAU
rnacentral:misc_RNA from 1 species